AUUGAACGCUGGCGGCAGGCCUAACACAUGCAAGUCGAACGGUAACAGGAAGAGGCUUGCUUCUUUGCUGACGAGUGGCGGACGGGUGAGUAAUGUCUGGGAAACUGCCUGAUGGAGGGGGGUAACUACUGGAAAAGGUAGCUCAUACCGCAUAACGUCGCAAGACCAAAGAGGGGGACCUUUGGGCCUCUUGCCAUCGGAUGUGCCCAGAUGGGAUUAGCUAGUAGGUGGGGUAACGGCUCACCUCGGCGACGAUCCCUAGCUGGUCUGAGAGGAUGACCAGCCACACUGGAACUGAGACACGGUCCAGACUCCUACGGGAGGCAGCAGUGGGGAAUAUUGGACAAUGGGCGCAAGCCUGAUGCAGCCAUGCCGCGUGUAUGAAGAAGGCCUUCGGGUUGUAAAGUACUUUCGGCGGGGAGGAAGGGAGUAAAGUUAAUACCUUUGCUCAUUGACGUUACCCGCAGAAGAAGCACCGGCUAACUCCGUG
rnacentral:rRNA from 1 species